CCUACGGGAGGCAGCAGUGAGGAAUAUUGGUCAAUGGACGCAAGUCUGAACCAGCCAUGCCGCGUGCAGGAAGACGGCUCUAUGAGUUGUAAACUGCUUUUGUACGAGGGUAAACACAGAUACGCGUAUCUGUCUGAAAGUAUCGUACGAAUAAGGAUCGGCUAACUCCGUGCCAGCAGCCGCGGUAAUACGGAGGAUUCAAGCGUUAUCCGGAUUUAUUGGGUUUAAAGGGUGCGUAGGCGGUCGGAUAAGUUAGAGGUGAAAUCCCGGGGCUCAACUUCGGAAUUGCCGCUGAUACUGGUCGUCUAGAGAGUAGUUGCGGUAGGCGGAAUGUAUGGUGUAGCGGUGAAAUGCUUAGAGAUCAUACAGAACACCGAUUGCGAAGGCAGCUUACCAAGCUACUUCUGACGUUGAGGCACGAAAGCGUGGGGAGCAAACAGGAUUAGAUACCCCAGUAGUC
rnacentral:rRNA from 1 species